GGAUUGUAGCUCAGUGGUAGAGUGCUUGCUUCACAUGUAGAAAGCACUGGGUUUGAUUCUCAGCACCA
rnacentral:tRNA from 1 species